rnacentral:rRNA from 1 species
AUCCUGGCUCAGGAUGAACGCUAGCUACAGGCUUAACACAUGCAAGUCGAGGGGCAUCAUGCUUAUAGCAAUAUAAGUGAUGGCGACCGGCGCACGGGUGAGUAACACGUAUCCAACCUGCCGAUAACUCGGGGAUAGCCUUUCGAAAGAAAGAUUAAUACCCGAUGGCAUAAUAGAACCGCAUGGUUUGAUUAUUAAAGAAUUUCGGUUAUCGAUGGGGAUGCGUUCCAUUAGGCAGUUGGUGGGGUAACGGCCCACCAAACCUUCGAUGGAUAGGGGUUCUGAGAGGAAGGUCCCCCACAUUGGAACUGAGACACGGUCCAAACUCCUACGGGAGGCAGCAGUGAGGAAUAUUGGUCAAUGGACGAGAGUCUGAACCAGCCAAGUAGCGUGAAGGAUGACUGCCCUAUGGGUUGUAAACUUCUUUUAUAUGGGAAUAAAGUGGUCCACGUGUGGAUUUUUGUAUGUACCAUAUGAAUAAGGAUCGGCUAACUCCGUGCCAGCAGCCGCGGUAAUACGGAGGAUCCGAGCGUUAUCCGGAUUUAUUGGGUUUAAAGGGAGCGUAGGUGGACAGUUAAGUCAGUUGUGAAAGUUUGCGGCUCAACCGUAAAAUUGCAGUUGAUACUGGCUGUCUUGAGUACAGUAGAGGUGGGCGGAAUUCGUGGUGUAGCGGUGAAAUGCUUAGAUAUCACGAAGAACUCCGAUUGCGAAGGCAGCUCACUGGACUGCAACUGACACUGAUGCUCGAAAGUGUGGGUAUCAAACAGGAUUAGAUACCCUGGUAGUCCACACAGUAAACGA